rnacentral:rRNA from 1 species
ACUGUCAGCUUUGGCUAAACUUACACAUGCAAGUCUCCGCCCCCCUGUGAGAAUGCCCACAGUUUUCUGCCCGAAAACAAGGAGCCGGUAUCAGGCACACUCCCCGCAGCCCAUGACACCUUGCUUAGCCACACCCUCAAGGGAACUCAGCAGUGAUAGACAUUAAGCCAUAAGUGAAAACUUGACUUAGUUAAAGCCAAGAGGGCCGGUAAAACUCGUGCCAGCCACCGCGGUUAUACGAGAGGCUCAAGUUGACAGACAUCGGCGUAAAGAGUGGUUAGGAAGUUUUUGAAACUAAAGCCGAACGCCCUCAGAACUGUUAUACGUACCCGAGGGUAAGAAGCCCCACUACGAAAGUGGCUUUAUAUCUCCGACCCCACGAAAGCUGCGAAACAAACUGGGAUUAGAUACCCCACUAUGCCCAGCCCUAAACUUUGAUAGCCCACUACACCCGCUAUCCGCCCGGGUACUACGAGCACUAGCUUAAAACCCAAAGGACUUGGCGGUGCUUUAGAUCCAU